UUGUUAACAGGCCCUAAAUGAUUCCAAGAAGCAGGCCCUAUAUAUAGCCCAUGUCUGCACCCGGAAACCACAUCGUCGAGCGGCGCAUAGGCCGAAGCGAUGCCGAGAGCCCGCGACGGCGCCGCCGUACCAAGGACUCCCGGGCGAGGGUCGGCUCGGCCAUGCCGCGCGCCAUCACCGCUGCCGAUGCGGUUUUGCUCCGACCACGGCGGUCCCUCCCCUCCGUUGCUGGCGUUAAAUCGAAGAAACAAAAAGGAGGUGCAAUGAUGAAAAACCAGACACGAAGGAAAUUGACAAUUACGUGAAAUGGAAUGCAAGAAUUGUGGGAUCCAAGGUGGCCAGCAUAGUCUGAAGUUUGCUGCUUGCUGGGGAAUGUGGCUCAUGAUCUUAUCUGUCUGCUUAGUCUUCUGUGGCUUGCUGCUAUCAAAGUUUUUCUGCUGGGAAAGUGCUUGUGUCUUUUUGUUUCUUGUCUGUGUUCUACAUGCUCUGAGAACCUUUUAUUUCUGGUUUUUCUAUCUGACAUCAGGGAAACUACCUCCAAUUCUAGAUAUAUAUAUCCUGUUGACAUCUAAAA